UUAUACGGCCUUAUCAACCUGCACCUCAAGAUCAGUUACUCACUGAAGCUAAGCAGGACUGAGCCUGGUCAGUACCUGGAUUGGAGACCAAUUGUGAAAACUAGGUUGCUGUCGGAA
ensembl:rRNA 5S_rRNA 5S ribosomal RNA